UGCAAGUCGCGCGACAAGCUGUUCUGCUUGCAGAACGGUGGAGGAGCGGCGUAAGGGAGAGUGACGCGUGGAUUACCAACCCCCAGGACCGGGAUAGCGGCGGGAAACUGCCGGUAAUACCGGAUAAUGUCUCCGGACCAAAUGGUGUGAUUCCUCCUGGGGACGGGUCCGCGUCCUAUUAGCUUGUUGGUGGGGUAACGGCCUACCAAGGCUACGAUGGGUACCGGGCGUGAGAGCGUGGCCCGGCUCACUGGGACUGAGACACUGCCCAGACACCUACGGGUGGCUGCAGUCGAGAAUAUUCGGCAAUGGACGCAAGUCUGACCGAGCGACGCCGCGUGCGGGAUAAAGGUCUUCGGAUUGUAAACCGCUGUCAGAGGGGAUGAAAUGCCAUGGGGUCAUCCCCAUGGUUUGACAUAUCCUCAGAGGAAGGGCGGGCUAAGUUCGUGCCAGCAGCCGCGGUAAGACGAACCGCCCAAACGUUAUUCGGAAUCACUGGGCUUAAAGGGUAUGUAGGCGGCAUGGUCAGUUGGGUGUGAAAUCCCUCGGCUUAACCGAGGAACUGCGCCCAAUACUGCCAAGCUUGAGGGAGAUAGGGGUAAGCGGAACUGAUGGUGGAGCGGUGAAAUGCGUUGAGAUCAUCAGGAACACCGGUGGCGAAAGCGGCUUACUGGGUCUCUUCUGACGCUGAGGUACGAAAGCUAGGGUAGCGAACGGGAUUAGAUACCCCGGUAGUCCUAGCUGUAAACGAUGAGCACUUGGUCGAAGACUCCU
rnacentral:rRNA from 1 species